AGUGUCAAGGGAUGGGAAUCGAACCCACGACCUUCCGCUUACCGGGUAGAUGCCAUGACCACUAGGCUAAGUAUUCAC
rnacentral:tRNA from 1 species